rnacentral:lncRNA from 1 species
CUCACUCUCAUGAUGACAUAGAAGAGAUGCGUCUGAAUCUUUCUGCCAGUGUGUUAAAGUUAUUCUGAUAUUGACUGUAGUUCUGAGCUUUGUCUCUAUCCCACCAAACCACUAACUUCUGGAAAUUACUUGUAGACCAAGAUGGGAGGACUCCGUGUGUGGCUCCGUGACUCUCUUCAUGUGACAAAGAAACUUCCUAAAAUACUAAAAGCUAAAGGAGAUUGUUAUCUAAGCUUGAGAUGGAAGGUUGCCAGCGGAAACUUGGAGGAUCACAGCCAGUCGCCUGGGAUUGACCACAGGGAGUGGCAGAGGCAGAAAGCAAAAGACCAGUUGCAAUUAUCCAGAAUCCUGAAUUGAGCCUGUGUUCCCAGUUCCUAGAAACCCUCAAGGUUAUUGGUUUCCUCCUCGCUUAAUAGACCAGUGGAAGAAAUCUACCUCCAGUUCUAUCUUCACAUGAGCAACUGUUUACAGUUUACAAUAUUACUCUGAAAAUCAGUUCUUUUCAAGUUUUAUCUAACACCCACCAGAAGAAACAGAAGAUUAUGAAAAUGGAAUUUGUCAAAGUUCCUCUCCCAACAAUAUGAUAUUUAAUUUUGCUAACAUUUUUUUUUGAACACUUACUAUAUUGCAGACAAUGGUCUAAGUAAAGCAUUUUAUGUGCAUCCUAUCAUGUCAUCAUCACACAGCCCUGUGAGGUAGAUACUAUUAUUAUUAACCACAUUUCACAUUCAAAAAAACUGAGGCUUAGAGAGACUAAGUAAAUUGUCCAAGGUCACACAGCCAUGAAGUGGCAGAGCUGUGGUUAAAACCUAUGUCUGUCUGAUGUUUAAGAUUUUGCUGUUAGCAUUACUUUGAAAUGACAAUAUGAGGGCAUUUUAUGUAUUUUUUUUGCCCCAAUAUGAUCUGCAGAAACUAUGUAUUUUAAGUACUACAUUUCUUUUAUUUACCAAAUUAUUGUCAGAUAAGAAACCGAAAUAAAAGUUUACAGGGUCUAGGAUUCCUCCAUAAUGAAUGAACUUUGGGGUAUUUCAGUGACAAAUUGGCUUUAACGCGAUCAAAUUCCAUCCUACAAUGAAAGUGUGUUAGUUUGUGGUUUCAAGUUUAAAAACAGCACUGUAUUGUCUUCCAGAAAUAUAUAAAUAGAAAUUCAAGAAGUAUUUCAAUGAAUACAGAUAAAAUUAGUUUUGUUAGAACAUCAAA